UCACGAAAGUGAGCUGUACUAGAAGUCGUCGCGCUAACCGCAAGGAGGCAGACGCCCAAGGUAUGACUCAUGAUUGGGGUG
rnacentral:rRNA from 1 species